GCGCCCGUAGCUCAGAUGGAUAGAGCACAGGAUUCCUAAUCCUGGUGUCGUGAGUUCGAAUCUCGCCGGGCGCA
rnacentral:tRNA from 1 species